rnacentral:ncRNA from 2 species
ACGAUGGCGAGCGGCGCUGGUUCGCCCCAUCCCGCCAGGGUGGGGCGUCGUAAGAGGGAACCCGGUGAGAGACCGGGACUGCCCCGCAGCGGUGAGUGGGAACGACCGCCGUCAACGAAGCACUGGACCACCAGGUCCGGGAAGCGACGGCCAGUAGGUGACCUCGUGUCAUGCCCGCGAGUCCGAAGACCUGCCAGCGCUGCGCACGCCAC